GUGUAUACCAGUUGCUCACACAAUUUUGUCUGUUAAAAAAACGCCCACUCCUGGUGUCUCACCCUCGUUAAGGACAACAUUUGAUUAAAGGCACAGCAAGCACACAAAAUUAGUCAUGGCAAGAAGGACAAUGAGAUUGGUCUCAUAAUUCAAAUAGAUUUACUUAGCAUUGGCAAGGGAAACAUAAAAUAAGGCAAUAUUAAAGGUUACGUUGUGAGAGAGAAAUGAACAAAGCAUUUAUCCAAGCAUGAAUUAACGAGGUAGGAGGAGAACAAAUGUAUUACCUAAUGUCCUUAACCCCAAUCAAUGAAAGGGAGAGAAACAGAGCAAAAGAGAGAGAAAGGAGUGAGGAGCGGGAGAGAGUAAGGAGUUACCACAUCCUGCACUGGAAACAAAAGGGAAAGACUGUCACCCGAAACGCCUUUCAAGAGCAUCUGGGAGAAGUUAGAACCUCACCUUUAGCUGUCUGAUCAAUCAAACGAGCUUCCAAUCAGAUAUUCAAACAACAGGACAUGACCUCACCCGUCGUUGCUAUACAGAGCACAGAAACUUCACCGCAGUGAUGCUCUGGGGCCAGGCCUGCGUUCACAGCUCUCUCUCCCGGCUCCCGACCGGAUUAUCGUAACUCGCCAGGCGCAAAUGCGGCUGCAAUCACACAUAGAGCAUUUCCACAGGCCAACAAGCGACCCGCGAGGAUAGAAGUGGAACGCUGAGGUAAUCCAAUGGCAUAGUGACGUGUACGCAAUUUUAGAAGGACGUUCUGUGCAAACCGACACGUGAGUCAUGUUUGAUGCGGAGCCUGAAAUAACCGUCUCAUCUCAGCGUGGCUGGCUUCCCACCCACCGCCGUGUUGAUGGAAAAUCAUUGUGUUCCGAUCUGUUAUUUUA